CUUUUGUCUCCAUUCAUAGGUGGCAUAUUUCCGGUGGCAGUUGUACCCGGAGCGGCCUUCGUCCCAGUUGCCCCAGCGAUCGUCCCCGUGGCACCGGUCGUCCCUGUAGCACCGGUUCAUGUUUCCCCCAUUCAUGCUGCUCCAAUUGGACCCGCCCUGGGUUUCGGUGGUGGAGCAGGCUUCGGACGUAGCAAUGCGCAAGCCCAGACGGCCAGCUUUAGCAUAGGGCCGGGCGGAAUCAGCGGAUCGUUCAGCAAAUCAUCUGCCGGGGCCGGCGCCGGUGGAUUUGGAGGAGGUGGUUUCGGAGGGUCCGGUGCAAAUGCCGUGGCCGAAGCUUCUUCCCACAGUGGUGGAUUCGGAGGAUUCGGUGGUUCCUCGUCGAGUGCGCAUGCCUCUGCGAAUUCCUACAGCGAAGGCGGUGGUUUCGAUCCAUACUACGGAUAAGGUCAUUGCCAAGCGGAAGUUGGAGAAUAAUCAAUA